GCCAAUGUGGUGUAGUGGUUGAACUUUGGACUAUGAUUCUGGAGACCAAGGUUCGAAUCCCAACUUAGCCA